rnacentral:rRNA from 1 species
GACGGAGGGUGCUAGCGUUGUUCGGAAUGACUGGGCGUAAAGGGCGCGUAGGCGGCUCGUGAAGUCGGGUGUGAAAGCCCGGGGCUCAACCCCGGAACGGCAUCCGAUACUGGCGGGCUUGAGACCGGGAGAGGAGGGUGGAAUACCCAGUGUAGAGGUGAAAUUCGUAGAUAUUGGGUGGAACACCGGUGGCGAAAGCGGCUCUCUGGCCCGGAUCUGACGCUGAGGAGCGAAAGUGUGGGGAGCGAACAGG